rnacentral:lncRNA from 1 species
UUCCUUCAUCCAUCUCAUCUUCUUUGUCUCUCCAUUUCCUUUCCAUUUUCCCACAUACCAAUUCCUUCAUCCAUCUCAUCUUCUUUGUCUCUCCAUUUCCUUUCCAUUUUCCUCUCCAUUCUCUAGUUGCAAAGUUCUGCGUUUUCAAGCAAGGAGAGGAAGAAGAAGAAGAAGGAGCCGUGAAGAUCAUAUCCUCCAUCAUCCACCUUGAAGGCUUGCUUCCAAGAUUCAAGAUCCAACCAUCUAGCUCUCCAUCUCCAUCUCCCCUCACGGUGUAAUUCAUUCUUUUUCCUUGUAAUGAUCUUUUGUUUUCCUUGUUUGAAUUCAUAUGAACUUGUUUCUAGUUAACAAUAAUGUUUAGGGUAAAGUUUAAACCCAACUUCUAUGUUUAAAUAAAGUUUUCGAAUUCCAUAAUUUAAUGUUGAAAACAAAAGAUCAUUACAAGGAAAAAGAAUGAAUUACACCGUGAGGGGAGAU